rnacentral:lncRNA from 1 species
AGGCCUGUAUGGCUGGGUGAGGAGGCACCGAGAAUAUCAGGAGAUGAGGUCAGAGUGGAGGAAGGGGCUGCUUCACAGCUUCUCUUCUCUUCUCUUCCCCAGCUUACUCCGGCUGAGCCCAGAGUGGAUGCACAGCCUCUUCUCCUCAUCUGUGGCUGCCCCCCAGGGCAGAACGUGGAUGGCUCACUCCUCUCUGUGGAGCUGGCCUGGGUUUCAGAGCAGAAGCCAGCAGCCGUGCCGGCCCAGGAGUCCUUUCUCCUGGUGCAGACAUCCACACUCCCUCCCUGGGGACUGGCCGGGGACCCAGCUCCCCUGCCACCACCACCGCUGCCCUGGGAGGCCGCCCCGGGAGAACUCCAAGGCCAGCAGGUGCUGGACGUGAGGCCCCCACCUGCCCCCAGAGCCGGAGGACAGUCCUGCCAGGACCAUCGCCAGGCAAGGGGCCGCGAUGCCCCCCUCUGCCGGGAGUCCCCCCACGUUUCAAAUCCCCCAUUACCCAGGAGAGGCCCCAGGGAUCUAAAAGGCUCUCAGAAGGAGGAAGGAGGAGCCCCAGAGUGGGGAACCGAGGAGCAGGAGGUGAGGAGGACUUGGGACAGGAAGGAGGAAGACCUCGGUGACAAGCGCCAGCCAAGUCAGGAAGGCCGUGAGAACCUGAGCCUGGAGGACAGGGUGGGAGCCCUGGAGGGCGUGCAGGGCGGGCACAGGGCUGCAGAAGCCCGGGUCGCUGCCUCCCGCCCCCGGCCCGGGCAGCAGCUUGCACUGCCUCCUCUGCAGGAGGAGGCCGCAGGGUCAACAGAGGGUCCCGAGUCCCUGAGCAGGAGGGGCACGGGGGCAGGGCGUGUCUGGGGCCUCCCAGGGGGGUUUUCCUUAGAGGAGGAGGAAGAGGCCUCCCCAGCCACCUGCUUCAGGGCUCACGACACCAAAGGCCCGUCUCCAGCAGGCGCUCAGCAUCUUGCAGAGCAGGGCCGAGCCGUCGGGAGAGUUCAGGGCACGGAGGAAAAGCACGUGUGGUCUGGAAGUGCUUGGCUGCUCCAGGAGGAGAGCCCCGGGGACCAAGGGCAAGAGGAGGAGGAGCAGAAGGCGUUCCAUCAGGAAGGGUCCAGCCCAGGCUGCAGGGGUUUCCUGGAGGAGCCUAGUUCUGAGGAAUGUGAGGCCAACGAAGUGCUUCUCUUUGUGAAAGAGGGAGGUUUGCCACUGUCUCUGAGAUUGGCCUUAUUGCCCGAGGGGGCCAAACCCACCAGCCACUCACAGGCUCCGAGCACAGGGCAGGACAGGUCUGCGCUCACCAUAGAGGAAUUCGAAAAGGAGGUGGAAGCUUGUUUCCAGCAGCUCUCCAUCCUGAAGCUUGGGAGCGAGGGUCGUCGGCAGAAAGUUCCCACGUUGGCAGUAGAAAACUGGAGCUUUGCUCGCAGGUGGCCCAGCUGCCAGGAGAACGCCUGUGCUCGGCAGGCUUUGGCAAACCAGAGUUUGGAUCUUUGUUCUGCCAUGGAAGCACAUCCCACUGAGACCAGUGAGGAUGUUGAGCUGGGAGAGACCGAGGCCCUGGGAGCCGGCCAAGUUCUUCCGGGCACGGUGCCUGAUUCGGACGACGUGGGUCCGCGCCCAGGGGGGCCCUCUGAGCUGGGUCACACCUGGCUCUCUGAGCGCCCGACAGCCCUCGAGAGAGUGAGGAGAAGGUUUCAUCAGCUCAUUGCUGGGCUGAAGAAAGAGAGAAGCAGAGUUUUACGUGACAUCGCACUUCAGAGAGACCAAGAGAGGGGCCGUAAAAAGCUGCGUGCCCUUGAAAAAGACAGGGAGCGAACUGUGAAAAACAUAUCUGCGCUCGAGCGGGAUAACAGCGCACUGUUGGGAGACAUCGCUCACUUAAAGAGGGAGCUGGACCAGUGUUUGCAGGUCAUUUCUGACCUUGAAGACUGCAACGGGAAAAGUUACGGCAAAAUUUCCGAGCUCGAGGAAGAAAACGAGAAACUGAAAGUGCGUGUGGAACAGCUCGGGAAAGCCCUGUCUGAGAGCUUUAGAGCAUCCAAAGGCGUGACGGAGCACGUCACACGGGAAAACCGGGAGCUCAAGGCGCUGAUUUCCCAGCUUGGGGUCAGUUACAAAGAGCUGAUAAAGGACGUAGUGUUGGGGAUAGAAGACAUGAUCCGGGCCUUAAGGAGGGAGAAUGACCACCUUCUACACAGGAUCCAAGUCCUGGAGAGGGAAGUCACAAAGGGGAGGAGCACGGAUGUGGGGCGCUUGGUGAGGGCCCAGGAGCCCCUCCAAGGAAAAUGCAAGAUGGCGGUGGACAAGGAGAAUGCUGUAGAAAGGGGAGUGCAGGUAACUCAGCUUCCAGGGCCACUGAUCACAGGACUGCACGGGCUGCCCUUGGAGGAGGAAGUGGGUCUGGCUGGAGAGCGGACGGGACCGUCCUCGGGCAUGGAGAAUUCCAGGUGCCGUGCUGAUCCUACUGCUCCACCGCUGGUCUGGGGAAACGCCGAGGGAUCCAGCGGCCUGCAAGGAAACACUGAUGGAGCCGGGGUGAGAGAAGCACUUCCGGAACAGGAGGAGAAAAGACCGUGGUGUUCUGCAGACCAAGGGCCAGCUCUGAGGUCCCCGAGCAACGGCCCCCAGGUAGGUUGA